rfam:Gossypium hirsutum cultivar TM-1 chromosome 10, whole genome shotgun sequence
UGUUAAAAUUUUCAUCUAUUUAUAUUGUUAAAGGGGUGACUAAUAGAAUAAUCAAACAGUUACACGUGAUGUGCCAUGUGUACCUCACACUAACAUAAAUGAACUAGUUUUAAACAGUAGAAAUAUAUAGAAAUUUUUAACA